AGGCAGCAGGCGCGCAAAUUACCCACUUCUGACCCGGAGAGGUAGUGACGAGAAAUAACGAUGCGGCCCUGGAAAAGGGACCGCAAUCGGAAUGAGCGCAGUCCAAGUCGCUGAACCGAGGCGGCCGGCGGCGCACGCCGUGCGGGUCGUCGAGCGAGUAUCGAUUGGAGGGCAAGCCUGGUGCCAGCAGCCGCGGUAAUUCCAGCUCCAAAAGUGUAUACUAAUGCUGCUGUGGUUGAAAAGCUCGUAGUUGGUGUCGCCUGGAGAGCUGCCGGGGGAAGAUCGCCCCUCUCGCCGCUCGCCGAGGACCCGCGCGUCGGCCCUUCGCGGGGUCGCGCGCGGACCGAGGCGGCGCGGUGGGGCGACCCGGCGGCGAAUGGCAAGGGGUCGCGUCGCGAGGCGCGACCCGGUCGGUACGGCCCGGGCCCCUCGCCCCUCGGCGGGCAGGGGCGUUCCGGCGAGUCGAACCGAAGCUACUUUGAAUAAUCUGGAGCGUUCAAAGCGGGCCCGCGACGCCGCACUCGGCGUGACGGCCGCGAACAAGCGUGCAUGGAAUGGCAGAACAGGGCCGCGGCGCGACAGCACCGGCGAGCCCGUCGAGGCACGCGGCAAUGAUCGAGAGGGACGGACGGGGGCAUUCGUACCGUGCCGCGAGAGGUGAAAUUCAGAGACCGGCGCGAGACGAACCGAAGCGAAGGCGUCUGCCAAGGACGUUUUCUUUAAUCAAGAGCGAAAGUCGGAGGCUCAAAGACGAUCAGAUACCGUCGUAGUUCCGACCCUAAACGAUGCCGACCGCGUCGCCGCCGAUAAUGCUUUGGCCUUCAAGGGCCGGAUGGCUCGGUGGCGGCGCCGCGAGGGAAACCGGAGUCUUUGGGUUCCGGGGGAAGUAUGGUCGCAAAGCUGAAACUUAAAGGAAUUGACGGAAAGGCACCACCAGGAGUGGAGCCUGCGGCUUAAUUUGACUCAACGCGGGAAAACUCACCCGGUCCGGACGCGGCAAGGAUUGACAGACUGAAAGCUCUUUCUCGAUUCCGCGGGUGGUGGUGCAUGGCCGUUCUUAGUUGGUGGAACGAUUUGUCUGGUUGAUUCCGAUAACGAGCGAGACUCGGGUCUGCUAAAUACGCCGACGACUCCGAGGUGUGACUCGGAGAUCGCCGAGCGGCGAGGACGUCCGCGGCGUCGGCCGCCAGGUCGGCGCGCGGGCGCGAUCGCCAAACUGGCGACACGUCUUCUUAGAGGAAACUGCGACGCCACAAAGAGAUUGUAAAGUCGAACGAAACCGAGCGAUAACAGGUCUGUGAUGCCCUUAGAUGUCC
rnacentral:rRNA from 1 species